rnacentral:rRNA from 1 species
AACGAACGCUGGCGGCAUGCCUAACACAUGCAAGUCGAACGGGAUCCUAGCUUGCUAGGUGAGAGUGGCGGACGGGUGAGUAACACGUGGGAAUCUGCCUUUUGGUUCGGGAUAACCGCGGGAAACUGCGGCUAAUACCGAAUGCCCUCGAGAGAGGAAAGAUUUAUCGCCAGAAGAGGAGCCCGCGUCCGAUUAGGUAGUUGGUGGGGUAAAGGCCUACCAAGCCGACGAUCGGUAGCUGGUCUGAGAGGAUGAUCAGCCACACUGGGACUGAGAUACGGCCCAGACUCCUACGGGAGGCAGCAGUGGGGAAUAUUGGACAAUGGGGGCAACCCUGAUCCAGCAAUGCCGCGUGAGUGAUGAAGGCCUUAGGGUUGUAAAGCCCUGUCGCAGGGGAAGAAUAAGCAUCGGUAUAAUACGCCGGUGCCCUGACGGUACCCUGCAAGAAAGCACCGGCUAACUCCGUGCCAGCAGCCGCGGUAAU